AAAGCGUGCGCAGGCGGUCUUGCAAGACAGGUGUGAAAUCCCCGGGCUUAACCUGGGAACUGCACUUGUGACUGCAAGGCUGGAGUACGGCAGAGGGGGAUGGAAUUCCGCGUGUAGCAGUGAAAUGCGUAGAUAUGCGGAGGAACACCGAUGGCGAAGGCAAUCCCCUGGGCCUGUACUGACGCUCAUGCACGAAAGCGUGGGGAGCAAACAGGAUUAGAUACCCGAGU
rnacentral:rRNA from 1 species